UCACUUAUGCCUGCAUGUACCUCUACACCAUUUUUCCUUUGGAGUAGGUCUUGUGUUUGCUAUGUGCAGCCUAGAAGUGUUCCUGGAAAGAAAUCAUAGAAUCACAGAAUCAUGGAAUCCUUAGAGUUGGAAAGAAUCUUUAAAGGUCAUCUAGUCUAGCUCCCCUGCAAUGAACAGGGACAUGCACAGCUAGAUCAGGUUGCCCAGGACUUGAUCCAGGCUCACCUUGAGAAAAUCUCUACAGUGAGGUACAGACUAACGAACUCUUCCACAAACUUUUUGGAACAUGACUGUCCUCAUUAUGCUUUGUCUCACAUUCCAUCACAUUCAAAGCUCCCUUUGGUAGUCCUAUGUGGAACCAGGAGUUGGAGUUGAUAAUCCUCAUGGAUCCCUUCCAACCUAUGAUAUUCUAUGACUCUAUGAUAAUAAUCUGGAGUUUACUCAAAAAGAAUACAGGGGACUCAGAGUACCAGCCUGGAGUCCAGUGGUCCUAGAAGGAAACCACAGCACAGCUGGAAGGGGCAGAGUGUGAGAAAUCCAUGGAUACAAGCAGUCUUGCACAGCAGCACAGCGUGAACAUGGUGAUGACAUUCCCCACAGUGGAGAGAGUAUCCAGAAAUGCUGGAAAAAGAUCACGGCCCCAUUUUCUAUACGUCCUAGUUCCUGCCUGAUGAUUCUCCUUAGCUACUCCUUUCCCAAGAGCUGCUCAACUACAUACCCUUUCCUCCACCAAUCUCUCCAGUCCUUCCUUCCAUACCCCACCUUCUCAUGCCCUGCUGGCAGCCCUACCUGGCUGUUCAGCUAAUGCCUUCAGUGCUGAUGACUGACUGACUUCCUCAAGGUCUCCUGGCUAGAGCAGAACCCUUGGAGCAAUCAGAGAGUAAGAAGUCUGUGCUGCUGAAUGGGUGUAGUUGAAAGAAAUCAAUGUACCUAUACACGUUAAAAUUUCUUUCCCACUUUGGCCUGAUUGCCUUUGGUGGAAGUGCCCCCAAGAACCAAUUGCAGAGCAUGUCAAACAUAUUUCAGACCUGCCCACCAGCUCCUUGUGCAGCAUCAUGCAUUCUCUUGGUAGUGAAGCCUGUGACUGUCAGUGAACAGGAAGGUGCCUCUUGGUCCUGCACACAGCAGGAGGGAUUCCAUUUCAUACCAGCCAGCAGACAUUCUUCCAGGCCUCAACCAUGGUUUAUAUGAGGUCUCAGCUUGGCCUUUGGAGUCUUGGCAGAAGCAUCUACGUUCCCUGGGCACCACAGAGCCUGUUUCCACCCAGAGUGGGCUUCUCCCCCAGUUGCUGUUGGUGCCAUUAUUUCACACAGAUAGUUCAGUCUUGAACACAUUCCUAACUAAAGGAAUCAGACAUCCCUAGAAAAAGCAGAGGGCAGACACUUUCUCAGUGUUUUUUUAAGUGCUUGUGUGGAAUGGUGUUGGACCUAUUCCUCUUCUGCUAAGUCUAGAAAAGUGGAAUAGAAUCUGUGAUUCUGAUAGACUUGGAAGAGCAUUCCCUGAGGGAUUUGCAGCAUGCCAGUGUUGCUAUCAGCCAUGCUACCAGGCUAAGCAGAACAUGCUUGUAGAGAUCACUGUGUCCUGUGAAUGACCAGUGGAUAGUGUGAUAUGGAAGAUGUGGCCUAAAGCUGGUAUGUACCAAAGCAGACUUGACAGAGAAUGCUGGUUUCUGAAGUGGCAGCUACAGGAGAGAUGAGAUGUUAAUUUGUCAUCAAAACAUCUAUAUCCUUCCAGAACCUGUGAUUUGUUUCAGACAGUGGAUUUCUUGUCACGGCAUUAAUGGGUACUGUCUCCCAUGGGUGGAGCUUUAUGGCUCUUCACAGGCGAAUAAAUAAAGUCCUUGUAAACAUCCAUUCAAGUAAUGAGUUGUGUGGCAUUUGCUCAGCACUGAACCAAGGAAGGAACUUAGAGAUAAAGCAAAGGAAUUUUCAGUAUGAGCAGGGGCAAGAAAUGUUUGAAAACACCAUGGCAAAAGGUGCAGCUUCCAAAUGGUGCUGUCAGUUAUGCUACAGCUAUUUGUUAUGCGUGCUGAGAGAGAUGUCAUUGAACCUGAUGGGCAGUGUGACAGAGGAUGCCUACAAGUUCAGCAGUUUCUGCUGCCCUCUGUGUAAAAGGAGACCUCCCAGGAAUGCUGGCCCCAGCCAAACAGAAGUUCUGGCACUCUAAUUCUUUAGAGAAAACCUCCUCUUCCCUGCCUUUGUGCUGAAGCACAGCUGAGUGUUUGCUCAAACCUGGGUAUGGUACAGGCAUAUGAUCCUCAUUAAGAAUCUGUCUGCUUUGCUUAUAGGCAUUGAGUCAUGUUGAAUUAAAAACGAGUGCUUUCUCCACUCCUAGCAAAACAUACCUAUUCCAUGUAGGAGUCUGAGCGUUAUUUGAUUAAGACAUACUCUAUGUCAGGAUAGCCAUGGAGAGACCGGGAUGCCAUCUCCUAACCCUGCUUCUCCAUCCAGAGAACAAUUUCUGCAGGUCUUCCUUGAAGGAAGGGGAAAGGGAAGUGAAUGCAGCUUUCUUAUGGGGAGUUCGAAUAGCAGCUUUUUGCAUUGUUUGUGUUUUCUCUCUCCAGUGAUUGACCUUACAUGUCUUCCUGUAGCCCAAGCUCCACUGAGCAUCUCACUGGAGAAGAACCAGAUCAGCUAACCAGAGUUAGCUGACAGAUAAGCAGAGAGGACAGUAGGACAGUCCUGUCUGGCUUCAGAUGAACAACUGUCCAAGAUGCAUACUUGCUCAGACACCUCUCACGUUCUCAGCUAAUCAGUCAUUGCUGGGCAGUGGAUAUUGGCUGAUAAGGUGACCUUGUGAAUGUCCUUUCUUUCCAUCAGCCAUGAAAGCAAGUGGAUGACUCCUGAUACAGAGCAGGUGAAGAGAGAAGCAGGUCUCUUGGAUAAGAGGAGGUUAGUGUAGGUUAGAAAAUAAUUAAUAAGCAAUAAAAACAGAGGUAAUUUAUUUCUGAAAGAAGGCAGGCAUGUCCUUUUUUUCCUUUGCUGAUCAGAAAUGUCCCACUCUGUCUGUAUACAGGCUUGGCUUAUCAGUCUGACUCUUGAACAGCUAAGGAAGGGUAUAAUAUUGACACUUUUAACUUCAAUGCUUAAACCAUCUGUGGGAUUCUAGAGAUAAACUGAUAAUUUCCAGAAAGGGCUGCAGUACACAUACCCUUACUUAUGUGGGGGCUGAAUAUUUCACAAUGAUGUUUUUCACAGCUCUUUUUAGGACUGGAAGCCAGAUUGCUCACCUCAGCUCUUGUCACUGGAAAGGCUCAUCUCCACACUUAAAGUUCACUCGGGUAGUCAGAUUGUCUCUUUAGCUCAUUGCAUGGCAACCUUCUCAUAUCAACAGGGACAGGUACAAGGCUCUACUCACUUGUAGAGCAAGUCAGCUGUAUAAAGCAGACCAGUGCCAGCAGGAAAACUGAUGGUGACUCCAGGUAGCCAGCCACGACGAUCAUAGAUAGGAUGAUGAUGCCCACUGUGGGAGACUAGUUAUCAGGGGAUCUAACAGUGCUUGCAUCCCCUGUCCUGUUGAGAUGCUGAACAGCAAACCAAGGACCAGAGAAAAUACUGAUCCAUUAGCUGAUGAGUUGAUGGUCAGUUUACAAACAGGGACACAUAUAAAGCAGAAAUAUCUAAUGCCUUCUUUGUCAUUAUCUUCAACACCAGUGAUAAGCCCUUGGAUGAAAACUGUGACUGCAGAAACAAUGAACUCCCAAACAACCCCAAACUUGUGUGGCAUUUGCUGCUUCAUCUGGAUGCAUAUGUCUGUGUGAAUCCCAUCCCAGGGAUGGGAAACCCAGAGAUGUUGAGCACUGACAGAGAUUCAUAAGCUUCUAAUUAAUGGAUGUGGCUUGUGGCAAUUUUAGUUUGAUUUAUCUGGAUAAAACAGGUCACAGAACAUCCCUCAGUCCAUCCCUGACUGAAGCAUACCCCAAAGAUAGCAAAGCCUCCUAACAUGAUAAAGAACCACAUGGCCAAAACUUUUAAAUAUUGGGAGAUUCUUUAAUGUCCUUUUUGUGAUUAGAUAUUGUGGCACCCAGAAUUGCACACAGUGUUCAAGACGAGACCAUACUAGCACAGAGCAGGACAAUUCCUUCCUUUCCUGACUAGCAAUGCUGUUCUAAAUGCACCCCAGAACACAUUUGGUCACUUUGGCUGCUGGGGCAUAAUACUGACUCAGAUUCAUCUUGCCAUCUAACAAAACCACCCAAUUGCUUUCCACAGGACUGCUCUCUGGCAUUUUGUCCUGCACUUAUACAUAUAUCCAGGAUUACACUGUCCCACAUGCAGAAUCUGGUAUUAGAUCUUGUUAAAUCUUAUACAGUUGGUGACUGCCCAGUGCUGUAUGAAAAUCUGCAAGGCCUCUCUGCUCUUGUGGAAGUCCAUACUUUGCUUAAUUUAAUACUGAACACUCUUACCUCUGUUUGAAGCCAGCAUACAGGACUCCACUGGGGAAUCCUUUCUUGUAAAUCUUGAUCCAUUCUAGCAUACCAUUGCAACACCAUUCAUGUAGCAGCAGUUCAGCAGUUCAUGUUCCAUAGUACCUGCCGAGCAUCACUAUUCAUUAUUACCCUAUUGUUUGACACGCAGAAAAUCUUCUUUCCUCCUGUUGAACUCCUUAUCAGAUGGUUUUUCUUCAUUUGGGAUGAUGCAGCAAACAAGGUGGGUGUGAGUACUGCAUAGGUUCAUCAUCAGCUUAUUUAAGUUCUCCUGUGAGACUGCAAGAUAAAGUUUAGAACAAACGUGAAAGAUCUCUUCCCUGUAGCUGUCUGUAUUUCAGCCAUGGAAAGGAGUUAAUCUUUGGAUUGUAAUGUUUUCAUAUUAAUGCAAAUAGCUUUAUCCUUCAUUUGUCUUUGUCCAUCUAUUAACAGAAAAUACAAUUUGGCUAUUCUGUCAUCAUAAUUUCUUUAUUACAGAGGCUGGGAUAUAACUCAUUUAGUAUCCCAAGACCGUAGCUCUGGAAACAAUGAACAAUUCUCUGUGUCCGCACUCAUGAAUCAUUAGAACAGCUAAGCUUUUCUAUGCAAAGGUCUUAUAGAUAGUCUCUCUUUUUCUAAGAAUUAUUCCAUUAUUUAUGAGUGGUGUGUGGCAGCAGUGCUGAAAUAUUCACAAGUCCCAAACCUCAUUUUGUAAGAAUGUUUGGAAUGUUGUGAAUCAGCAGGAAGAAUUUGAUGUAUUGCAGCUUCAUACUUAGCUUAAAAAAAGAGGUGCAUGAAAAAAGAUCUGCACAACAACAUCCACAACCAUUUAAAAUAGUUUUCUUUUUCAAAUCUUAAUGUGAGCAUCAUAAUAUGCCAUGUGAAAAAAAAGGAACACUCGUUUCCAUUUCUCUUUAUAGUAUAUGUUCUUCAGCUUUAGGUUAUAACUUCACUUUUAACAUUAAAUUCUCUUUCUUCAAGUAAGGAGAGUCAAAGUGAGGAAACUAUGGAAAAGAUCUGAGAAAGUCUGGAAAAUCUUUUUCUUGCCAUGACAAAUCACAAAAAUAGAGAGCAGCUUAUUAACUGAAAUUUAACAUUUUAAUUCAACAUACACCAGUUCAUUAUUUAUCCUUCACUAUCUAGAGAACUCAGACAUUAAUGCAUAUGAAUAGGAUGGGUACCUUCUUAAUCAGCUCAAUGCAGGCAGCCAGGUCCAUCCCAGAGUCAAUAAAUGCCCAUUCAGUUACUUCCUUCUUGCACUCCUCUUGUUCCAAUGCAAACGUGGUGGUUAAAAAACUGUUGCAGUUUCUUAUUGGUGAAGCUGAUGCACAGCUGCUCAAAGCUGCUGAACUGCCAUAUUUAAGAAAAAGAAUAUUCUUAAGGUGUAACAGUCACAAGGCCCCGUGCUGUUCUCACUCUUAAAGACUGAGGUCUCUUCUUAUUCAUGACUAUCAUCAAUGAAUCUCUAAUUGGUCUUUCUGAUGCCCGUGAUUGUAGAAAAUACAUUUACUUACUUUUACAUUAAAUACACGUUAUCAGGCUCAGUCUUAUCUUUGUGCAAUGUGUGAGAACAGAAAAAGGGGAGAAAAUAAGGUAGAAUUACCUCCAGUUAACUUGCCUAACAUUUAGGCACUAUUAGGGUGUUGCUUGUCAUAACAUCACAUGUUCUUACUUACUAGUCUAUUAUCAAGUUAACUUUCCUCUCAUGUUCUACAGCAUUCCAGAGAGAAAUGUUAAGUUUGAAACAGACUGUGGAAAAUGGAUUGCAAAUUCUAGCUGACAGAAGCAACUCCUUCUAAACAGACAUUGUUUAGUUUAUGCAGUCCUACAGAACCAGCACACUUACCUUGAAACUUUCAACGAGGACAGGACAGAGGAUUUCCUGGGAGAUUUUAUGGUAUCUGGUGUGCAUAUGCUUUGGAUUCAUCUUCUUUCCUUGGUUAAAGCAUUUUUGGACAACGUUCUUUGGCAAAGCACUGUGUUGCAAACUUACUUAAAGAGACGUAACUGUAAACUGAUUUGACUAGAUAUACUUUUUUUUUUUUCUUUUUUCUUUUUUUAAUAUCUUACAAAUUCUGUGUCUGUUUUAUGGUUUUGAGGGAAAUAUUGGUGGUAGGUGGACAGUUGAAUUCUAUGAUUUUGGAGGUCUUUUCCAACCUUGGUGAUGCUAUGAUUCUGCGAUUCCAUGAUUUUCGGAUUACUUUCUGAUCCAUCCAAGACAGAUUAUUUUGUAUAUAGUGCUGCAAAAAUUCCAAGUCUGUAAUGUAGGCAGAUCAAUGCACUGAUUUUCACCCCAUGAUGCUGUAAGGUGUGUAAAGAAGUACUUGAAAAAUAACAAAACUAAAACUCAUAAAACCCAUUGCUUCUUAAACCAGGAAAGUUUUCUUGAAUAGCAGAAACAAGAAACUUAUUGUAGUUCAGCUUACUGUAUAGGCACUGUGUCAGCUCUUGAAAUACAGCUUUUUAUAGAGCUUUUGAGGUGAUUUCCAUGGUUAGAAGAUAAAUACAAAUGCAGAUGGAUACAUAAAUAUACUGUAUUUCUUAAAAAUGCUGAGAAAAAGACAUUGCGUGUGUCACUAGUAAUGAACAAGGAAUUGCAAAUCUUAACAUUUGUUAUGCAUUGUGAGAAGUUCAAAAAGCAUCUAUUAAGUUCAAAAAGCAUCAAAAAGCUGUCUUUUAACAGCUAAAAACACAGUAUCCUUGUGUAAGUAAAAAAAAAUGACGUAUAAUCCAUUGAGCAAAUACAAAAUUCCUUAUUUACAGGGUUCAGCCACAGCAAAUAUUCAACAGCUGUUAUUGAGCAAAUUUGAAUUGUUUCAGAACUAAACAAGUUCCUCUUUUGGUCAAUGGUAUUUUGAUCAUUAACAGAGUUCAGUGAAAAACACAGGGACAAGGUUAAAAAAGCAAUGCAUAGAAACUGAUGCAAAAUCCAGCAUCAGGACUGCCAUGUACAAGAAAACUUGUUCCAAAGGUGACUCUUGCACUGCCAUGCCUGUUUUUUCUUAUGUCCAGGUCCCUUCAUGCAGCCCAAACCUAGAACUUAUCUCUACCUCACUGAUGGAAAUGUCCUGUCCAGGAUAUGCUCAGAACAAACCAAUGUGAAAUGGUGUCCACAGGGUACAUAUAAAGUCUUGUCUAUCUGGGAUUGGACACUGUGGGCACCUGCCUCCAGCAAGAUAGAGUACAAAUGGGCUCCCCAGGGUGAGGCCUGUAAGCAUUCCUCUGACAGACUUCUUUACCACUCUGUUGCCCUGAGGUGCCAUGCGAGGUGCCCUGAGGUGCCCUGCAUCCCGGUGGUUAUAGGUCUGGCCAAGGAGGGGAAAAGAGGGCCUUGGCAGCUCAAAGCACAGGAUUCAGAAAACCAUGAACAAAGGGAAAAGCCUCUGGGGAGCAGAGAUGGCUGAGGCCUCUCCCAGGAUGGGAGAGCUGGGGAUUUGCUCCUUUCUGGAGCGACCAGUGUGUCAAUAUGAAUUUCAGGGGGUAGUAGUAGCUUGUGAGCAGAGAUCUCAUAGACCACAUUUGCUGUUUUGCAUA